rnacentral:rRNA from 1 species
GUACACGCUGUGACUAGCAUAUCAAUAAGCGGAGGAAAAGAAACUAACAAGGAUUCCCCUAGUAACGGCGAGUGAAGCGGGAAGAGCUCAAAUUUGAAAUCUUAAAGGGUUUCCCUUUACGAAUUGUAGUUUAAAGAAGUGUUUUCUGUUGAGGUUUUGGUAAAAGUUCUUUGGAAUAGGACAUCAUAGAGGGUGAGAAUCCCGUAUUUGACCUUUACUUUCAACUCUGUGAUACACUUUCAAAGAGUCGGAUUGUUUGGGAAUACAGUCCAAAAUGGGUGGUAAAUUUCAUCUAAAGCUAAAUAUUGGCGAGAGACCGAUAGCGAACAAGUACCGUGAGGGAAAGAUGAAAAGAACUUUGAAAAGAGAGUUAAACAGUACGUGAAAUUGUCAAAAGGGAAGCGUUUGACACCAGUGUCGUUUUUCUGAAAAUCAAUUAAAGAACUGUUUAUGCUAAGCUUGUUUAGACCUUUAUCAGCUAUCUGUUUAGUUUUGAGCUUUUCUUUAAUGCACUUUUCAGUUAACAAGUCAACAUCAAUUUCUUUUGCUGUAAAAAAGCUCGAGGAAGGUGGCUUGAGAUUCGUCUUAAGUGUUUAUAGCCUCUUGCCUAUGCAGUCGGAGAGAUUGAGGUCUGCAGCGUAGAUCCUUCGGGGCUAAAUGCAUUUGUGCUAAGUUAUAACAUUUUAUAGACAACUUGUUGACUAUGAUUUGUCUUGUAGCUUACUCGCUUAUGUUAUUUUACCUACGCUUAGGAUGUUGAAGUCAUCGUAUCGCGC